AACAGUUGUUAACAAGUUUAGAAUGAAGUGUUUGGACAGUAGGAUUUCGUUGUAGAUAAAACAAAUAUUCACGGAACUCAACUCUGCUGAAGUUGGUUUAACAACUUGUGGAAGUAGACUCUGUCGCCUUGGAAAUGUGGAGUUGUUGGCUACAAUUCUCUGCGGUGCGAAGUUAUAUCACAACAUAUUUGCUUUGUAUUUAAUGUAAAUCUACUUUUCAUUGGGGAUAAAAUUGACUUUCUAAUAUUGGCUAGUUAAGCCACCCUGUACUUAUUUCUGUGAAUAAUCUCUGAUUCACAUUUUAUCAGUGGUGGAAAAAGUCCCCAAUUGUCAUAGGUUACUUUAGUAAAAGUGAAAGUCACCCAGUAAAAUACUACCUGAGUAAAAGUCUAACCAUCAAAAGUAAAUGUUAUUGCUAAAAUCAUUUUAAAUUCCUAGCAAACCAGACAGCACCAUUUUCUUGUUUUUCCUUGUAUUUACUGAUAGCCAGAGGGACACGCCAACACUCAGGCAUGACAAACGAAGCAUUUGUGUUUAGUGAGUCCUCCAGAUCAGAGGCAGUAGGGAUGACCAGGGAUGUUCUCUGUUUAGUGAGUCCUCCAGAUCAGAGGCAGUAGGGAUGACCAGGGAUGUUCUCUGUUUAGUGAGUCCACCAGAUCAGAGGCAGUAGGGAUAACCAGGGAUGUUCUCUGUUUAGUGAGUCCUCCAGAUCAGAGGCAGUAGUGAUGACUAGGGAUGUUCUCUGUUUAGUGAGUCCUCCAGAUCAGAGGCAGUAGUGAUGACCAGGGAUGUUCUCUGUUUAGUGAGUCAGUCAGAUCAGAGGCAGUAGGGAUGACCAGGGAUGUUCUCUGUUUAGUGAGUCCUCCAGAUCAGAGGCAGUAGUGAUGACCAGGGAUGUUCUCUGUUUAGUGAGUCCUCCAGAUCAGAGGCAGUAAGGAUGACCAGGGAUGUUCUCUGUUUAGUGAGUCCUCCAGAUCAGAGACAGUAGGGAUGACCAGGGAUGUUUCUCUUGAUAAGUGUGUGAAUUAGACCAUUUUCCUGUCCUGAUAAGCAUUCAGAAUGGAACGAGUAAAAAGUAUAAGAUUUUCUUUAGGAAUGUAGUGAAAUUAAAGUAAAAGUUGUCAAAUAUAAAUAGUAAAGUACAGAUACCCCCCCCCCUCCAAAAAAAACGACUUAAGUAGUACUUUAAAGUAUUUUUUACUGAAGUACUUUAUACCAUUGCAAUUGUAUAACCAUUUAACUAAGCAUAGCACAUCCAGUCAAGUGACUUGGUCACAGCCUACUGGAAACAGGCGUCAAUUCAACGUCCAUUUCAUUUCAUUGAAACAGCGCUGAUUCAAUCAGUGUGUUCCCAGUGGGAGGGUUACAUACACAAAACAUCCAUACAGUCAAUCAUUGUUGUGAGCAUCGACGACCCACACUCUGAUAACUGGAGAGACACUCACAUGAUACUCGGGGGUACAUCCCAAAUGGCCAACCUAUUCACUACGUAGUGCACUACUGUCCCACCUGGGCAAGAGGAAUACCUACAGUUGAAGACUCCAAACUAAGUGGUAUGUAAACUUCAGACUUCAACUGUAGGUAUUCCUCUUGUCCAGGUGGGACAGUAGUACACUACGUAGGGAAUAGGACGGCUAUUUGUGAUGUACCCCUGAGUAUCAUGUGAGUGUCUCUCCAGAAUACCUCAUGUGAGAAUUCUGUUCAUUGACUACAGCUCAGCCUUCAGCACCGUAGUACCCUCCAAGCUCAUCAUCAAGCUCGGGGUCCUGGGUUUGAACCCCGCCUUAUGCAAACUGGGUCAUGGACUUCCCGACGGGCCGCCACCCCGUCGGUAAAGGUAGGAAACAACAACCUCCACUUCGCUGAUCCUCAACACUGGGGCCCCACAAGGGUGCGUGCUCAGCCCCCUCCUGUACUUCCUGUUCACCCAUGACUGUGUGCCCACGCCUCCAACACAAUCAUCAAGUUUGCAGACGACACAACCAUAGUAGGCCUGAUUACCAACAAUGUCGAGACUUCCUACAGGGAGGAGGUGAGGGCCCUGGUGGAGUGGUGCCAGGAAAGUAACCUCUCCCUCAACAUCAACGAAACGAAGGAGCUGAUCAUGGACUUCAGGAAACAGAAGAGGGAGCACGCCCCCUAUCCACAUCGACGGAACCGCAGUGGAGAAGAUGCGCAAUUGAGAGCAUCCUGUCGGGCUGUAUCACCGCCUGGUACGGCAACUGCACCGUCCACAACCGUAAGGCUCUCCAGAGGGUAGUGAGGUCUACGCAACGCAUCACCGGGGGAAAACUACCUGCCCUCCAGGACACCUACACCACCCGAUGUUACAGGAAGGCCAUAAAGAUCAUCAAGGACAGCAACCACCCGAGCCACAGCCUGUUCACCCCGCUAUCAUCCAGAAGGCGAGGUCAGUACAGGUGCAUCAAAGCUGGGACCGAGAGACUGAUAAUCAGCUUGUAUCUCAAUGCCAUCAGACUGUUAAAUAGCCAUCACUAGCCAGCUACCACCUGGUUACUCAACCCUACACCUUAGAGGUUGCUGCCCUACAUACCUAGACAUGGAAUCACUGGUCACUAAUAAUGUUUACAUACUGCUUUACUCACCUCAUAUGUAUAUACUGUAUUUAAUCACUCUGACAUUGCUCAUCCUAAUAUUUAAACAUUUCUUAAUUCCAUUAAUUUUACUUUUAGAUUUGUGUGUAUUGUUGUGAAUUGUUAGAUACUAUUGCACUUUUAGAGCUAGAAACACAAGCAUUUCGCUACACCCGCAAUAACAUCUGCUAACCAUGUGUAUGUGACCAAUAACAUCUGCUAAAUAUGGGCAUGUGACCAAUAACAUCUGUUAAAUAUGGGCAUGUGACCAAUAACAUCUGCUAAAUAUGUGCAUGUGACCAAUAACAUCUGCUAAAUAUGGACCAAUAACAUCUGCUAAAUAUGUGACCAAUAACAUCUGUUAAAUAUGGACCAAUAACAUCUGCUAAAUAUGUGCAUGUGACCAAUAACAUCUGCUAAAUAUGUGCAUGUGACCAUUUGAUUGACUGAGUCAUAUGGGCCCUGGUCAAAAGUAGUUCACCGUGUACGGGAUAGGGUGCCGUUUGGGACACAACUUCAGCAGAGUUAUAAAUCUGUCCCCAUGAAGAGAACAGAGAACAGAGAACAGAGAACAGGGAACAGGGAACAGAGAACAGGGAACAGGGAACAGAGAACAGAGAACAGGGAACAGAGAACAGGGAACAGAGAACAGAGAACAGAGAACAGAGAACAGAGAACAGAGAACAGGGAACAGGGAACAGGGAACAGGGAACAGGGAACAGAGAACAGGAACAGGGAAUCCAAGAUCCAACAAGUUGUUUACUAUUUUGUAAUGAAAAAUCCAUGAAGUCAGCUGAGUUCUCUAAAAAUCAAUUUGCUGUUUCUCUUCUCUCUCUCUCUCUUCUCUCUCAUGGACUUGCCGUCUCGACCUCUGAAUGCUCUGGCUAUGAAAAGCCAACUGACAUUUACUCCUGAGGUACUGACCUGUUGCACCCUUCAAACCACUGUGGUUAUUAUUUGACCCUGCUGGUCAUCUAUGAACGUCUUGAUUAACGAUCUGGUCUUAAUGGACAGGUGCUCUUAAAAUCUCCACCCGAUUGAUCAAAUUAAAUGUUUUGUAACACCAAAACUAGCUGCCCACCAACGUGAAAGGAGACGAAAGAAUAACUUGACUGCAGUAUUGAAACACAUCAACCUGAGAUGUUUUGAAACGCGACAUCGUGUGUUGUAACACCAGUUAAUCAUGUGUUGUGUAACACCUUGCCAGGGACUGGGAGACCUGCCUCAAAAAGGUUCAAAACACUCAUUUGGUGUUUCGUGUUCUGUUUAGUACAGAAUUAGAUAAGCUUUCUCUCCCUCUAUAGCUUCUAAACACUAUGAUGGUGUUUCACCUCCUGUCUAGUACAGAAUUAGAUAAGCUUUCUCUCUCUCUCUAUAGCUUCUAAACACUAUGAUGGUGUUUCACCUCCUGUCUAGUGAAGAAUUAGAUCGCUCCUUCUGGAAUAUUCUAAUGGUUAACAUUGGUUUAUGUAUCUGAUCAUUUGCCAGUUUUAACCAUUUUUGGCAGGCAUUGUUGAGCACAGUGCUCCAACCACCAGCGGUGACUAGAGGUUUCACCAAUGAUGUACGUACAUGUAUAUGAACCCUGCAUUGUUAAUUGCUGUGUAUUGGCCAUUGACAGGCUUUGAAGCCUCCGGUCGGCCAUAUUGGUACUCCCCAGUAUCGGCCAUAUUGGUACUCCCCAGUAGGAACAGUUCUCCAUAGGAAUGGAUGGAAUUCUAUUUCAAUUAAAUGUUUCAAGGACAAAAUUACAUGUAUUUAAGUAUUACUUUGUUGGAGUGGGGACAAUAACAUUAGUAACCCCCCC